UAACAGUAAAUUCGGUUGGUUUUUGGAACGUUGGUUUGGUGGGGGAUACUUUCCAUGACUAACUUAAACCUUUCGACAGCUCCGGAACCAGGGCGGAGUCUAUCUCGACACCAUCAAGGAAGGAGCACCCGAGUACCAUUCGUCAGUCAAGCCACAGUCCAGUCGGGCAAAUCCACAUAGCUCGAACACCUUUGGAAAAAAAUUAAGUACUGGAGAAAUCCGACCAACAGGCUCCAUCUCUGCCAGAAUGGAGGAUUGUCAGCCAUUCCACCUCUGCCAUCACUUCCAUUGUCUGCCCUUCUGGACCCACCCCUUUCUGCCUGGAAGCUAUAUGUCCAGCAUUUCAGCCUUGCUGAGACAUUUCUACUAGGAACCCUGGCCUGGAAAGACUACUCUGCAUUUAUUAUGUGCUUUCUUUCUUUGUUAUUUUUUUCACUCUAUUUAUACAGAAUCACCUGAGUGGUGCCCCAACCCUCUCAUGUUUGUCUGUCCCCUUUUAUAAUAUACAAUAUAUAUAACACUAACACUCAGUCUUUUUGCUUGACAUAACACAUUUUUUGCACCCUCAUGCACUAUCUUCUAUUUUUUGCCAGCAACAGUUAAACCCCAAAUCUGAAUAAUCUUGACUAAUCUGUCAAGUGAUUCUUCAAUUUACCUCACAAU